rnacentral:tRNA from 1 species
GGCGCCAUGGCUUAGUGGUAGUGCGCCUGUCUUGUCCCCCGGGGGUCCUGGGUUCGAUCCCCCGUGGUGCCU